rfam:Arthrospira platensis NIES-39 DNA, nearly complete genome.
AGGAGCCGUGUGAAGGGAAACUUUCAAGCACGGUUCUGAAUGGGAGGGGUAGGCUGUGAAGUUUAUCUCGACCCCUAAU